AGAGUUUGAUCCUGGCUCAGGACGAACGCUUGCGGCGUGCCUAAGAAAUGCAAGUCGAACGGAUGACUUCGGUCAUUAGCGGCGGACGGGUGAGUAAUGCCUAGGAAUCUGCCUGGUAGUGGGGGACAACGUUUCGAAAGGAACGCUAAUACCGCAUACGUCCUACGGGAGAAAGCAGGGGACCUUCGGGCCUUGCGCUAUCAGAUGAGCCUAGGUCGGAUUAGCUAGUUGGUGAGGUAAUGGCUCACCAAGGCGACGAUCCGUAACUGGUCUGAGAGGAUGAUCAGUCACACUGGAACUGAGACACGGUCCAGACUCCUACGGGAGGCAGCAGUGGGGAAUAUUGGACAAUGGGCGAAAGCCUGAUCCAGCCAUGCCGCGUGUGUGAAGAAGGUCUUCGGAUUGUAAAGCACUUUAAGUUGGGAGGAAGG
rnacentral:rRNA from 1 species